rnacentral:tRNA from 1 species
GGGGAUGUAGCUCAGCAGUGCAGUGUCUGCCUGGCAAGCACGAGGUCCUGAUUUCAAUUCUCAGCAGUACCA